AUAUGGAGCUUCCACAAAAGGGAAAAAGUCAUGAGAUUGCCAUAUUAACUCCGACGUGGGGAUGGUAACGGGGUAAAACUCAUGCGUUCUUCUCCUCGUCUGGUUUUGGAGCGGUUUGCUGUGAUUCAGUUUGAUUGCAUAUUUUUCGUUCCCUAUUCCAUCGAUCAAAAGCCAAGCACAGUGAGAAGGAGAAACAAAUCCCACUAUCUCCAAACAACCUCAUAUUUAUUUGGUAUUGAACGGCCAAAUCGAUUUCCACUGCUGGGGAUUUCUUUCUUCCAGUUAUCGGCUGCAUCAUCGAGUGAGCAGCUCAUUUUUGUGCGCAAAGGGAAAAUGGUCCACUUGUUUCUGUCUCAAAGGACUUGUGAUGAUGAUAAUGGCGACAUUGACAUCAACGCCGGCGCCGCAAGCGGGAUGGGGUUCACUUCUUGAAGAGCUGGGUUCCCUUCUACGGCAAGUAAUUGUCGCCAACGGGCGGGCGGAGUCUCGUUUGUGGCUGUGCAACACCAUUGCAAGCAUAAAUUCGAUUGGGCCAAGAGAGCAGUGGGUGCUAUUCAGGAAACUAUUGGAAUCAAGCUCACAGAGGCGUCGAAUUGCAGCCCAAGUUUUGCAGUUGGUCUUCGAGAAGAAGCCAAUUGCUUGCGAAGAAAUGUUACAUGCUGGAGAAGUUUUUUAGUGACGAAUCUUGAUUUGGGAUGUCGCUUUGGUCCUUUGAAAAAGCGCAGAAGUACUAAAACUGAAUUUUGUGCAAGCUUUUGCUUCAAGUUUCCCCCUUUUCUUGUUGCAUUUGAUCAUUGAUUAGUGAAGACCCCCCUUCCUAGUAAAUAUAUUUUGCACGAGCGGGUUCAAGUCUUAGCUCGAGGGAACUGCUUGCAAUUGUUUAUGGCAUAAGGGGAGGCGUUAAGGGCACAUGUAUGGCCAUUACUUUUCUAAGUCAUAGUAAAUUUUGGAGAGAUGAAGAAGCGGUCAUUUCACUAAAAUUAUCACAGCCUACCUACUGCCACUGUUUGUUAGUAGCAGUACUCCGUAUACUUGUUGAGCUAAAGGCUGAAACUAACAUGCAUUUUAUAUGUACUGACAUGCACCAAUUUGCCAUAUGAAACUGUUUGCAUCAAGUUAAUUUGCUACCUAUGGAAGGUGUUGGCUUCUCCAUUCUGAGAUGCCUCUAUGUGCUGAAUUUGUCUCUUCCAGAUGAAGGAAUCUACCAUAGUUUAUCAUCAAGUUGUGUAUUUGUUAGUUUUCAGUAUCUAAUUUUAAUUUGUUGCUUAUCUAGUCAUUUUUCAAUGUUUUUUUUUAUUUUUCAUUUACGAUUUUUAUCAAAGUAUCAGGAUUUUUAUUUAUUUUUUAAAAAUUUGUCAUCUUUUUCCCGUUUUAUUCCUGAGAUAUAUAACUUUGCCGUUUUAUACCCGUUUUUUUUCUCGCCAUAUAAUACCCGUAUACGUUUACUUUGGAGGCAGGUUCAUCAUAUAUGUGUACACAUGCAUGCACAUGCACCACGGUUCCCAAUAUGAUCACCAUUGAAUUGGCAUGGACAAGUUGCAAACUGUGUCAAUGUCCAAAACAAAUAAAAAAGCUCGGAAAAAACAUUACUUGAGAAGGGGGAGUCAUCUCCAAAUUUAUACAAGGAGAACUUGAACUAGUUAUUGACCAGCUAAGAAAAGGUCAAGGUCUAAUCUUAAUUAAAAAAACUGAGGAAAAGAGAAAUGUAUAACAAUAAAUAUACAUAAGAAAAUAAAAUUACUGGAACAGAAAAACAAAUAUAUAAAUCUGCAACGUAUAGAUGUGUAUGUGUGCAACAAAGACAUAUAGACUAUGAUACAAGUAUUGUACAAAAGUGUGUUUAUAUUUGCAUGUGUGUAUGCAUGUAUUAACGACUGUGUUCUUGUGCUGAAAAUUUGUCGGUACUAGUCUGGCUCUUGAUCGUUGCAGCUGCCAAUGAUUUGUUAUAGUUGGUAAAUGGUCUAUUAUAUGCUGCGGGAAUAGAUUUUUAAUUUUCAAACGUACUUUCUUCAUGGCUUUUGUACAAGUAAUCCAGGGCGCAUUCUGCAGUGGUUUGGAAACUUUGCUACUUCUGGCAAGUAUGAGCACCAGAAGGGAGCUUGGGCAAUAUCCCAAUGUGCUUUCAUAAACAGAGACGUUUGCUGGGAGGAGCUCAAUGGAACGAGAAACAUGGUCAAUCACUAGCGAUGGUUGCUACGAAGCCACACUAUUUCCUUGAUUUGGAUGUGUUGAGGACAGUGGAGAAUUUUCUGGAGAACGUCCCUGAUUUUUGGGUAUCAAAUGAACUUGCAGAGACAUUAAAGGAUGGGAAAUAUUUCGUAUUGAUAUGGAGUUCUUCACUGAUCAGUUUACCCAUUUAAUGUAUGAAGAGAAUGCAGCAGAUGUAUGGGCUUCCAUUGAUGAAUUUCUAAAUGACGAGCAGUUCUCAAAUCUCUGCAACCUUCUCUUGAUUUUACUUAAUGAAAGUGAGCUGUCUGAGUUUAUGAUUCACAUACACAAAGUUUGUUCAAAUUUGCACUCUAAAGUUUCUUGGCAAACUGAAGGGGCCAUUCUCACCAUCCUUUUGGCUUGAAAUUUUACUUUUAACAAGUUCACACAAGCUAGCCAUUGAUGAAUUGGUUCUAUCAAAUGCAGUUAUUAAUCACGGUCGCCAGUUGCUAGGUCUUGUACAUAUUGAUGAACACAUUGAGGAAAAAGAUAAGACCAGUGAAAUCCUUUCAAAAAUAAAUAGGAUUCGGGAUGAAGCCCAACACUGGUCACUGAUGUAGGAAUGUACAAAAAUAAACAGAUUGGCAGCAAUGAAAUUACUUGGGCUUGAAUCUUGGGUGGUGCAUAGGCAUUUGGCUUUGCAAUGUAAAUCUUCAGAUUCAUGGGAAUCAUUCUUCCUUGCAAAUGGGAUUGGCUUUUGCAAGUCUGCCACAUAUUCGCUAGUUGGUCGUGAUGGCUCUUCACAUAAUGGUGGAAGUAGGACAGGUGAUAGCAGUUCAGCCAGAGUUCCUCGAAACAUAAAAAAAAGAGACAUAGGAAAAAGAGAAAAAAGUACCGUGCUGACUACGACCAUAGUUCCAGUGAUGAAUUGACAGAAAUAGCAAGUUCAACAAGAUGGGAAGGAUUAGGGUCAGAUGGAUGUUGGUUGGUCUCAACUGACAAUUAUUCCUCUCCCUGGAGCAGUGAGGUAGAAGACUCCAGCGGUCUUGGCUUCCAAAUUCCCUGUAUGAAACAUCCAGGGUGCCGUGGCAUUCCUUUUUGGAGCAUAUGCGCAGACCAAAGACAAUCAUUAUAGUGGUGGUGUUUUGGUGAUAUUGGUAUGGGAGCAUUGUAGAGUUUCGUUUCUAAUUGCCUGGUGGUGCCCAGUGCAAAACCACAUGAAUAUCUCCUAGUCCUUGCUAUCUGAAUUAGGGCUGUCCUUCAUUUGAUGUCCCAAAAAAUAUGGGAAAAGGAUAAAUAAAAAAAGGGAAUCAAGAGAUGAAGGAUGAUCAUUCUUCAAUUAAAUGUAGCACAUCAAUCAUUAGUCUCAUCCACAUGUUAACUAUUUGUUCACGCUACUCUGACAGCAAAAAGUUGUUGCAUGAACUUGGUAAGUCUUCUCGUGCAUAUGGAGAUCACUUGGAGCUAUGGAUUCUGUGCACUUCCUGUGACAUUUAUCAGAGGCUGCUCUUGAUAAAACCACAUUUCAAAGAUUUGUUCCUCGUAGCCUCUCAAAGGUUCUGUGCUUAGGUUUUAGGGGGCUUGGUUGUUCAUACCCAUGUAGAUUUGCUCACUUUGGCUUGCUUUAUGGUCAUCCUGCCAAAUGCUGCAUCUGGAUUUAACAUCAAACAACUAGGUUACAUUUUUUAUGCAUGGAGUUAUGGUGCAUCCUAUUUCGAGCUUUACAGUGGUUUUUGCACAGGUUGUAUUGUCUUAACAUUUAUAUUUUUCUUUUGAACUUAUCAAUUCAAUUGCUUCUUUUUUCUUGAA